GUAUAGCAUUCUAUUCUCUGUGGUCGUGAGAUAAUACUAGGCGCCGGGUGAACAGCAUAUUCAUAAUGCAACAUUAUGAAUAACGCCAUCAAGUGGCAAAAAAUCGAACUAGAGGCUAUUUUGAUGCAUUGUGGGAAUGACACAGUUUAUGAGGGAGGAAAAUGGCUUCCGAAAGGGUUUCUGUGUGAGGGAUAACUGUUACUGCCCUCUCUGGGAAGGACACCGGAGCCCCUCAGUAUGAUUCUCAACGAUUCUUGUCACAUAAACUUGAGAUGAGAGAGAUGUACAUUUUCAUGACAUAUCUAAACGGAAAGAUUAGGAUUUUAUGUUGCAGAAAAUAUGGAUAAACGUAGGCGGAUCUCUGUGGAGUGUGUGUUUUACCUAGAAUUAUAACAACAGUUUGUGUAUGAUCUUUCCCUGUGGUGGUGGUUAGUAGGAAUUUUUACUUUUUAAAAGAGAGAAGAUAUUUAAAAAAGGAUUAGAAAACCAAAAGAGCCAUUUCAUUCGGAUAUUUUCCCCUUAAAUUUAUCGUGUGUAGAGUUCUUCAUAAUAUAAAGCAUUCAAAAUGAUGUGUGACGUGAUGCCAACGAUUUCGGAAGAUGGGUCGAAUGACCGGGAAGCUCAGGGUGCUCAAGAUGAUGCUAAUUUCGAACAGCUUAUGGUUAACAUGUUGGACGAGCGCGACAAGUUGAUGGAAACCUUACGUGAGACCCAAGAAGCUUACAGUCUAGGCCAAGCAAAACUAGGUGAAGUUGAAAGAGAAAGGGACGCAUUUCAAAAACAGUUGCAAGCCACCACCCCUCAGGUAAGAUGAUAUGUCAUUUAAUACGUUUCUAGUUGGCGAUGCUGCCGCUUUUUUUGUCUUGUAAAUGCGGACCAACCUAAGAAUUCGAGUUGACACUGGGCACGGAAUACCGUCGCCAUUUUGUAUAAAUUAACGAAAUGACAGUUAGAAUAGCUUUAAAAAUGUAAAAAAAAAACACCUAAAAAAAAAAAACUAUAUGCAUUCUUGGGUGUUGAAGGAUUUUAACGAUGUGUUGUAAUGAUGGAGAAUUAAGAAGAAGAAUUGAUUAACGCCGGAAGUUCUGUUAAGUUUUAUAUGAAAGAUGCUAAGGGUAACCCCCCAGUUAGAAAAAGACUUAAAGAACACCCAGAGAAGCACAUGUAUGGUUAGCAAAUGAGUCAGUAGAAAGUACAGAGAUACGGUGAUUACAAUAUCAGGGGUCGAUUUUAGAGGAUACCUGUCUCUCACUGUACUGAUGUGUGUGUGUGUGUGUGUGUGUGUGUUAAAUGUUAAUGAUUCUUGUAAGAGAUAUGGAGUGCUUCGAUCGGUGCUGCUGUACAUUCAAACGUUGUCUUGCUAUAUCAUCCACCCUCGCUGUUGUUUAUACCAUUCAAGUAUUUCUUCCGGAAAAAUUACGAAGAAAGAAAUAUAAAUAGAAAGAUCCCCCUUUUUAUAACUCCUAUUAAGUAUGCGUUUUCGUUUUCUUCUUUCAUUUAUAUUCUUUUUCUUUUUGUUUACACUUGUUAAGGUCAGUUGAUAUAUAUAUGUAGUAGGAAUAUAUAUAUAUAUACGUGUGUAUGUGCGCGUGUGUGUAUUCCUCUUGGGUAACUGCUAUUCUCAACGUUUCCGUCAACAUUCUCUCAUAAAAUUAUAAUACCUUGAUCAUAUUUUCAAAGUUAAUGUUCCUGGAUUUCGAGCGAGAGCAUUUACUUCGGUUAUAUAGAUAUAUGUGUGUAUAUAUAACGUAGAUAUGUUCAGAUAUACAAUAUCUAUAUGUCUAUGCCAAUUGUGCAUACACACACAUGAAAUGAAGUUGUGUAUGUGAUAUAAUUAAUUUUCACAAUUUCUAAUGUUCGUGAAAUCUUCGCACCUGAUGAGAUGCUUGAAUUUUUGUUAAUAUCUUUACCUCCAUCCAUCCCUCUCUUUCUUUCUCUCUCUCUCUCUCUCUCUCAAUCUCUCUCUCUAUAUAUAUAUGCAUACAUAUAUAUGUAUAUUAUAUAUAUGUAAUAUAUGUGUACAUAUAUAUGUAUAUAUUGUAUAUAUAACUAUGUAUUAUAUAUAUAUAUAUAUAUAUAUAUAUAUAAUUAUAUGUGUAUGUAUAUAUUAUAUAUAUAUAAUUAUAUGUGUAUGUAUAUAUUAUAUAUAUAUAUAUAUAAUUAUAUGUGUAUGUAUAUAUAUGCGGUGCCCCAGCAUGGCCACAGCUCAUUAGCUGAAACUGGAAAAAUCAAAAAUUAAAAUCAUAUAUAAUUAUGUGUAUGUAUAUAUUAUAUAUAUAUAUAUAAUUAUGUGUAUGUAUAUAUUAUAUAUAUAUAUGUAUAUAUAUAAUUAUAUAUAUGUGUAUAUAUAUUAUAUAUAUAUAUAUAAUUAUAUAUAUAUGUAUAUAUAUAAUUAUAUAUAUAUAUAUAAUUAUAUAUAUAUGUAGGUAUAUAUAUAUAUAUAUAUAUAUAUAUUAUAUAUAUAUAUAGGUAGGUAUAUAUAUAUAUAUAUAAUACGCACACCUAGCUAUAUGUCGAUGGGUAGAUAUAAAUUGUGUGUGUAAUUAUAUAUAUGCAUGUAUAUAUAUAUAUAUAUAUAUAUAUAUAUAUAUGAGGCUGUGAUCCCUUAGUAAUCAAUCAGUAUGCAGUAUCAUUGCACUGGGUCAGUGAUCUCAUUGGUAGCACUACUGAAGCCAGCAUGCAUUAUAGAAUUAGCUACAACAUAGUAUACUCUCCCCUCCUUGCUCACAUCAAAAAAGCUGCAAGAUCGCAGUAGUCUAAGUAUAUAUAUUUUUUUCCUUUCGUUAAAUAGGAUAUCUCUUGAGGUCAUCGAUGAUGUGUAAUUGUACUUUUAAAAUAUAUAUAUAUAUAUAUAUGUAUCUCUAUUGCCGGUGCCUAAGCAUUCUUCCGC
rnacentral:lncRNA from 1 species